rnacentral:rRNA from 1 species
UACGUAGGGUGCGAGCGUUGCUCGGAAUUACUGGGCGUAAAGGGCGCGUAGGCGGAUAUUUAAGUUGGGGGUGAAAUCCCGGGGCUCAACCUCGGAAUUGCCUUCAAAACUGGAUAUCUUGAGUUCGGGAGAGGUGAGUGGAACUCCGAGUGUAGAGGUGAAAUUCGUAGAUAUUCGGAAGAACACCAGUGGCGAAGGCGACUCACUGGCCCGAUACUGACGCUGAGGCGCGAAAGCGUGGGGAGCAAACAGG